AAGGCGGUAUCCCAGUGAACUGCACUUUUGUAAUAACAAAUAAAAAUUAAACUAAAAAUCUGCUUUGAUCCUUUGGACAGAGACUGAAUA
rfam:Acetobacterium bakii strain DSM 8239 contig_27, whole genome shotgun sequence.